AAGGGAUUGAAACUGUGAAGAACAUGUCUUUAGACCAAAAACCCAUAGUCAAUAUCACUGCCACUCAAGAUUAGGCCUUGAUGGAAUAUGUGAUGCCCUCGGUAUUUCAAGAUAUAGCAUGGGCCAUUGGAAACCCUGCAAGAGCUAAAGUACAGGUGCUGCACAUCUUGUAAACAUCUAAAAAUGCCCAUAUUUUUUAAAUCUAUUAGUUUAAUCUUUUUGGUUCUUUUCAAGAAUUUCUGCACAACAAAAAAUAAAAUUCUCCGUACUUACACUCACUAGCUUCUGCAGAAUGAAAUAAAACAAAGGGGCAGGAUGAGAGCAUUGAUUCUAUAUAAGGUGCAUGUGCGCAUGCAUGCAUGCGUGAUUGUUUACACCACAUCCUUAAUCGGGUUGACACGUAGGAGACGUGCUUAAAUUGGCUACACGGUAAAGUGAGAACAGAUAUAAUGGGCAUCCCAAGAGCUAAAGACCAAAUGGGAACUGUAUAGGAGCUAACUAAAGAUAUUCCAAUAAAGAUCAAAUCGAGAUCAUCCCACUGGAGGCGGAAUACAUGGAAUGACAAUAUGCUGAUUAAAGCAGGCUGAAUAGAGACACGACAGGGGGUUCAGCUGAUUGAGCAUGACCAUCAGCCUAACAAGUGGUACACGGUCUAUCGGCUUGACCAGUGAUACCAAGUCAGGACGUGGAGUAAUGGGAGACAACUGGCUUUAGUUACCAUAACCGCCAGAAGUGGAAGCAAACAUGGAUAACAGUCAUAGUGGGUAGUUAUUUUAUUUUAGUAUAAGUAUUGAAAUUAUACUUUAUAUAGGGAUCCUUCAACAAUUAAUCAAAUGCAUCAUUAUCCUUUAUCUUAGUUUUACUCUACCUUCUAACCUAGGAGUAGACGUAACUUAGUUUUCUACUGUAAUCUAGUGCUACACCUUCCUACCAUAGCCCAGUGCUACACCUUCCUACCAUAGCCCAGCGCUACGCCCUUACUGUAACCCAGUGCUGCACUCUCUUAUCCACCUUCGAAUGUUGGCAUGGUGGUGACGAAAGUCCUUGAAGAUCAAGAUAGCUACUCUCUAUCCUUCAUUCAAUCCCCAUCAUCAUCUUUCUGAUUGAUCAGAUCCUGAAAGUACGCCCGUGUAAACCAACCUUGUUGCCGU
rnacentral:lncRNA from 1 species